rnacentral:rRNA from 1 species
AGAGUUUGAUCCUGGCUCAGGAUGAACGCUAGCGGCAGGCUUAAUACAUGCAAGUCGAACGGUAACAGGUCCAGCAAUGGAUGCUGACGAGUGGCGCACGGGUGCGUAACACGUAUGCAACCUACCUUUAACUAAGGAAUAGCCCCGAGAAAUCGGGAUUAAUACUUUAUAAUAUUAUAGAAAGACAUCUUUUUAUAAUUAAAGCUCAGGCGGUUAAAGAUGGGCAUGCGCGACAUUAGCUAGUUGGUAAGGUAACGGCUUACCAAGGCUGCGAUGUCUAGGGGUUCUGAGAGGAUUAACCCCCACACUGGUACUGAGAUACGGACCAGACUCCUACGGGAGGCAGCAGUAAGGAAUAUUGGGCAAUGGACGCAAGUCUGACCCAGCCAUGCCGCGUGCAGGAUGAAUGCCCUAUGGGUUGUAAACUGCUUUUAUACGGGAAAAAACCCUCGCUCGUGAGCGAGGCUGAUGGUACUGUAAGAAUAAGGAUCGGCUAACUCCGUGCCAGCAGCCGCGGUAAUACGGAGGGUGCAAGCGUUACCCGGAUUUAUUGGGUUUAAAGGGUGCGUAGGCGGUAUUUUAAGUCAGUGGUGAAAUGUUGCAGCUUAACUGUAGAAUUGCCAUUGAAACUGAAGUACUUGAGUUAUCUUGAGGUAGGCGGAAUGUGUAGUGUAGCGGUGAAAUGCUUAGAUAUUACACAGAACACCGAUUGCGAAGGCAGCUUACUAAGGAUAAACUGACGCUCAGGCACGAAA